AGGAAUAUUGGUCAAUGGACGAGAGUCUGAACCAGCCAAGUAGCGUGAAGGAUGACUGCCCUAUGGGUUGUAAACUUCUUUUAUACGGGAAUAAAGUUAGCCACGUGUGGCUUUUUGUAUGUACCGUAUGAAUAAGGAUCGGCUAACUCCGUGCCAGCAGCCGCGGUAAUACGGAGGAUCCGAGCGUUAUCCGGAUUUAUUGGGUUUAAAGGGAGCGUAGGCGGGUUGUUAAGUCAGUUGUGAAAGUUUGCGGCUCAACCGUAAAAUUGCAGUUGAUACUAGCGACCUUGAGUGCAACAGAGGUAGGCGGAAUUCGUGGUGUAGCGGUGAAAUGCUUAGAUAUCACGAAGAACUCCGAUUGCGAAGGCAGCUUACUGGAUUGUAACUGACGCUGAUGCUCGAAAGUGUGGGUAUCAAACAGGAUUAGAUACCCUGGUAGUCCACACAGUAAACGAUGAAUACUCGCUGUUGGCGAUAUACGGUCAGCGGCCAAGCGAAAGCAUUAAGUAUUCCACCUGGGGAGUACGCCGGCAACGGUGAAACUCAAAGGAAUUGACGGGGGCCCGCACAAGCGGAGGAACAUGUGGUUUAAUUCGAUGAUACGCGAGGAACCUUACCCGGGCUUAAAUUGCAACUGACUGAACCGGAAACGGUUCUUUCUUCGGACAGUUGUGAAGGUGCUGCAUGGUUGUCGUCAGCUCGUGCCGUGAGGUGUCGGCUUAAGUGCCAUAACGAGCGCAACCCUUAUCGAUAGUUACUAGCAGGUCAUGCUGAGGACUCUAUUGAGACUGCCGUCGUAAGAUGUGAGGAAGGUGGGGAUGACGUCAAAUCAGCACGGCCCUUACGUCCGGGGCUACACACGUGUUACAAUGGGGGGUACAGAAGGCAGCUACACGGCGACGUGGUGCUAAUCCCGAAAGCCUCUCUCAGUUCGGAUUGGAGUCUGCAACCCGACUCCAUGAAGCUGGAUUCGCUAGUAAUCGCGCAUCAGCCACGGCGCGGUGAAUACGUUCCCG
rnacentral:rRNA from 1 species